rnacentral:lncRNA from 1 species
CUCUUGAUCGCUUUGGAGCAAGCCUUCCUCGACUUGAAGAUUCGAGAAAUACUUUGCAUCGAAAGUGUCAGGAGUUACAGGAUCCAAAUUGGUCAGUACACUGCCAUUCCCAUUCAGUGGGCAUAUCUCACUCAAUGUUUCUAAGUAGGUUGAGUUCAAGGUCGGAUCAGGACUGCCUGUGCCGCUGAAGUUAUACAAUCGAUCGGUGAAAGUUAGACAUCUAGCACGCCCAAAUGUGUGAGCACCUGUUAAUUUUGCAUGCCAAAUUUUGUUACUAUAAAGAGAGGGAACAUAGUUAGAUAUAUUUUUUUGCAGCCGUACGAUUUGCUUGCUUACCAGAUAGUGCAAACCAGAUCCGUGGUGUUGAGGCCUACAGCUAAGAAGUUGGCCUCGAGUUCGUCAAGUGUAAAAGUAGGAGCUGGAAGGGCUUCGUUGGCAGCCGUGCGAUUAGCUGUUAAGCUAUCCCUUCUUCCUAAUAGCACUGUCCAUGAAGGACCUCCAGACUGCAACCAUAGAUUAGUUACUCAAAUUCCAAAUCUCAUGAAACAAAAAUGCUUUAAAUUGUUGUUGGAGCUUGAAAUGUAUACCAAAGCAACAGAUUCUUCGGCAGCAAUGGCGAGAAUAUCAGCACAGGAAACGACGGCGGGACAAGCAUUCUCCAAUGCAGUCUUGAUAUUGUCCACAACAUCAAAUCCUCUGGCCGAGUUGUUAUUUGGCACUGCUGUUUUUUCGCUGUCAAUGGUACUGUUAGGAUUGGUACUGUUGUCCAGCAGAAUUGAUCCAUCGCAACCCUGAAAUAUAAUCAACAAGUGUUUUUCAUCUAAAAAUUGCAUGUUUUUGAAUUUUGCUUACGUCUUCUGAAGUUCUAUUAACAGAGAAGCAGCUGAUAAUAAAAGCACUUUUGUGCUCAGGCAUUGUUCCGAAGUCCAGUAACUUAGAAGCUGCUAAUAUAUACAAAGUAAUCUUGGUUGGUAUGUUUUCAAAGUUGAAUAAGUUGUUCAGCUUAAAUCUUUGAAGAACUAAUUAAACUUCGCAUCUGAUACCACGGAAGAUAUUUUCAGGGAAACUAAUAUUAAUUCCAUUUGGAUAAAAAGAAAAGAAAACAUGGACAGAUCUUUUGGUACUCCAACCAAAGUUCUAAAAGACGUUAGGCGAUAGUCGAGCGGCGGGCUAGAGCCUAACAGUUAGGCGGGGCCCUACGAGGACUAGACCAAUUUAAGCAAUUUAUUGUAUAUUGUAUAAAUAAGUGUCUAUUUAUACUUCAAAAGACACAUAAUUGUAUUGGAUAUGUAAAUUGCUAGAUAAAAUAACAUACAAAUUAUAAAGUAUUAGGACAUAUUGUAAAUAUUGGAAACAAACAUAUAAUAAGUGUUUAUCCAAGUAUUCAAUGAGUCUCUUACAUUUUAUUGACAAAAAUAAAAUGCAAAAUGAAAGUUAUCAAUUUUAUGUCUAGGUGGAGUCGCAACCUAGGCGGUGCAUAGGCAGGUUUAGGAGGGCUAAGUGGGCGCCUAGGCGGACACCUAAGCGGGUUUAGGCACACUUUCUUAAUUUUAAAACGCCUAGGGACUAAUUGGGACGGUAACCAGUUGCCUAGUGUAUAAGCGGGAAUUUUCAGAAUAGUGGCUCCAACUACAAGUUCUACUUAUUUUAAUUAAAAGGGUUCUUCACAAAUAAGCUCCCUCAAAACUAUGUUAGGUCAAAGGCACUUAAAUCUCCUUGCACUAUACACUAAAUAAGCAUAACACCAUAAAUCGAGCUGGUGCACUACUACUGAGGCCAUACUUAAAAACCAAAAUCCCGGACUGGAAAUUUCCAAAAAAAAAAAAAAAAAAAAAAAAAUCCCGGACUGAAAUUCGUGAUAAGAACACCGGCCAAAGAAAUAUUUUUUUACAAACAAAGGGUAUCAAAAGCAAAGAAAUGAAUCAUACGUUGACGAAGCAAUCGUGAAAGUGAAGCCGAGUGAGGCUGGCAGUAAUCCGGGGAUCGGUCUGCAGAGCCUCUUCAAUGACUCCACGCACAAUGGUGGUGGCAUUCGGGCAUGAUUCAUCAUAAAACGUAGGAGUCAACUGAGCAUCACCACAUCCUGCACUUGCACACAAGAUUAGUAACACUGCCAAAACAUAUUUGUAAUACAAUUGAGCACUAUAAGGAGGCAUUUUUCUCAGGUGGUGUUCGAUUUUUCUAACAUAUGUUGAUCAAUGCAUAUGUGAGCCAAACGGUAUAGGUCUAUUUAUUGAGUGACAGAGUGAACUGGUAGAUGAGAAACCCGCGUUAGGUAGAUGUCAAAUUAGGUUUAUUUUUUUGGUAAAAAGUUCAAAUUAACUUAAAUAAAUAAAAAUCGAAGCCCUUUUCUCCCUUUUCUCCCUUUUUCUUCUUUACGUGAAGUGAACCAUGAUGAUAUACUGGAAUCCAGAAUGUGGGUCCCUGGAUGCAAUAUAAUCUGUCAUAUGGAGUAUCUGUGGAGUAUGAUUUUCUCUCCUCUUAUUCUCAUCUUAUUCCUUCUCCUCCUCUCACAUAUUGUUUUUUGUCUUAUUGUCUUUAUAAAAAAAUCAAUAUAAGAUGUUGACGUGAUUAAACCGUAACCAUUCAAAUAAAAGAAAAGGAAAAGGGAGAGAGAUUAGGAGGGAGGGAAUCCUCCUCCUAAAUGUUACUACCCUUCCCGCGAAAAAAGGUGAGGUUUCUGUAGACAUCGAAAUUUCGGUAAAUAAAUGUUGACCGAUAAAUCAAAGUGUCAACGCUCAUGUAUUACAUAAAUUUUACACGUAGCGUGUGACUAAACGAAAAUUGAAAUGAGUUGGAAAAGUCAUCAAAUAGGACACGUGUCAACACCUGGCAGAAACGACUUAUUUCAUCUGGGAUAUUAUAUUCAAAAUUAGGCAUUGGAAAAUUCUAUAAAUACAAGCCCAUUUCAUUCAUUUGAAGGGAAGGAAUUGAUAUUACACCUUGAAGCUCUGAAGCUCUGAAACUCCGAAGCUUUCAAGCAUCCAGGUUCCCGAAGAAUCAAGAAAGCCUUCUUUGUUCUUCAUUCAUCGUUCUUCCAAGAUCAAGCCCCAACGGCCCUUUGGAUCAACAAUCAUCCACCAAUUCAAGAUCAAGCCUCGACGGCCCUUGAAGAAAGUGUUCUUCGUUCUUCGUUCAUCGUUCUUCCAAGAUCAAGCCCCAACGGCCCUUGAAGAACUUCCACCUAUUCAAGAUCAAGCCUCGACGGCCCUUGAAGAAAGUGUUCAUCGUUCAUCAACCGUUCAUCCUAAGAUCAAGCCUCAACGGUCCUUUGGAUCAACAACAUCAACAAAUCCACACAUCCAACCGUUCUUCGAGAUUAAGCCCAAAAGCCCUUGAAGAUCCGUUCAUCACUGUUCUUCAAGAUCAAGCCCAAAAGCCCUUGAAGACCCGUUCAUCACCGUUAUUCAAGAUCAAGCCUCACACGGCCCUUGAAGAAACACUCAUCCUCAAGAUCAAGCCCCAACAGCUCCUUGAAGAUCCGCUCAAAUCCACCUUCAAAGAUCAAGCCCACGGCCCCUUGAAGAAACUUCCAAUAGUUCAUCCAAGAUCAAGCCUCGACGGCCCUUGGAUCAAUCAAACAUCCACAAAUACACACCUUACGGAGAUCGAAUCAGAGGAUCAAAAUAGAGAGAGAUUGUAACCCAAAAUCAUCACAAAUACAAAUAUUUUGUUUGUGCACGUUGUUCUUGUCUCCUUCGUUUCAGGAAUUUUCCGUGUUCACAAAUUGGCACGCCCGGUGGGAUCAUCUCUACCUCUCAUCUCUUUCUCCGUUCAAGAAAUUCAAGCGCACUUCCAAAAUUAAUGGCAUCAAGGAAGGCUCAAACUGUUCCCGCAACAGGUGCAAAGAAUAAAAGCGUCCUCGUCGCAACUGGUGUCACUUUGGGCAUCACGACUCGAAGCAUGGCAAGAGCUACUUCUGCCGCCUCUUUCACCUCUGCAUCAACUCUGCCAAGGGAACAAAAGCACCCAAGGCACGAGCCUUCGAUCACCUUAGCCUCACUAAGGGCACCAAGGGGGGGAAGCCCAAGGAAAUACUCCGAAUGCAUGCUCUCCGAUGCCGAUUCAAGCGACAGUUCAGCCAUGCAAGUCAUGACCAUUGGAGCAACUUCAAUCGAUGAGCAGCUGGCUCAAAUGAAUGAAGCAAUCGCAAGGCUAACCCGAACUGUGGAAGAAAAAGACUUGCAAAUUGCAGCACUAGUCAACCGACUGGAGGCGCAGGACGGCGAUAAACCCGACCCAGAGGAUGAUCCACUAAAGGGAGGAGCUGGCGGAGACGAAGAACCCCCGGUGAAGAAAAUCGAUGGGAAGCCGAAACCAGACCAAGCAGCGGCACUCAUGGGAUCUCUUUCUAUCCAGCAGUUGCAGGAGAUGAUCACCAAUACCAUCAAGGCACAGUACGAAGGGAGCUCACAUACCUCCUUGUUCUACUCGAAGCCCUAUUCCAAGAAGAUUGAUGCCCUAAAGAUGCCAAUGGGUUAUCAACCACCAAAGUUCAUGCAGUUUGAUGGAAAAGGAAACCCAAAACAGCACGUUGCACAUUUCGUCGAAACUUGCAACAACGCGGGGACGGAGGGAGACUACCUCGCCAAGCAGUUUGUGCGCUCGUUGAAAGGAAAUGCCUUUGAGUGGUACACGGACCUAGAGCCUGAGUCCAUCAACAGUUGGGAGCAAUUAGAGCGGGAAUUCCUCAACCGCUUCUACAGCACCCGCCGCACUGUGAGCAUGCUAGAGCUAACGAGCACAAAGCAGUGGAAGGACGAGCCAGUCAUUGACUACAUCAACAGGUGGCGCACUCUAAGCCUCGACUGUAAAGACAGGCUCUCGGAAACCUCUUCAAUCGAGAUGUGCAUCCAAGGCAUGCAAUGGGGUUUGCAAUACAUCCUUCAAGGCAUUAAACCACGGACCUUCGAGGAAUUGGCCACCCGUGCCCAUGACAUGGAGUUAAGCAUCGCCCAUCAUGGGAAGAAGGAACUGAUCGCUGAUUACAAGAACGACAAAGUUCUUGGGCCAAAAGUGGAGAAGGCUACGUGGAAAUCCACCAAAGAAGCAAUGACAGUCAACACAGCUCCCGUCAAAAUCCCUACACGAGGCAAGGCGAUUCAAGCCGAAGGCUUUCGUGAUCAAGAGAUGCGUAGACGCACUUUGAAGGAGCUUGAGGAGAAAACUUAUCCAUUCCCCGACUCUGAUGUGGUUGCCAUGUUAGAAGACCUGUUGGACAAGAAGGUGAUCAGUUUGCCUGAGUGCAGACGGCCGGAAGAGAUGAAUCGUACCGACAACCCAAGAUACUGUAAAUUCCACCGCUUCAUCAGUCAUCCAACAGAAAAGUGCUUCGUAUUGAAAGAUCUCAUCCUGAAGCUAGCACAACAAGGGGAAAUCGAGCUUGACCUCGAAGACACGGCCGCGGCACACACUACUACUAUUGUGUUUGAAUCACUCGAUCAUGUGCAUCUCCGAAGCAUGCAUGACCAUUCCCGUCAAUGUUCAAGUCACAUGGCACCUCCUACACAACCAUCACCGGGGGCAAGCAACCAAGAUGCAUCUACUGGUGAUAAGAAAGGGUGGACAUCGGUGACCUACAAAAAAACGAGGAAGCCAAGACCACAAGCCAUAAGGCCAAAAGAUGAGCCUAAACCCGCCCUUCGAACUUCAGUCUUCGAAAGGCUGAAUUAUUCAAAACCUAGAAUUGCAGCACUUGAUCGCAUCAGUGGUCGAGACCAAACUUCCGUCUUCAAAAGGCUUGAGACGCCAACACCUCAAAGAUCAGUCUUUGAAAGGUUAUCAAAACCCAAGAAACAAAGCGGCACAGCUAGAUCUCCUCCGCAACGGUCGGCUUUGGACAGACUUGAAGAAACUAAGAAGCCUUCUAGAAACAGGAAGACAACACCAAAGGGAGAGAAGCUCGACAGUCCAGCAGGAAAAGACGAUGUUCAAAGCUUGAUUCCUUCAAGGAUGAAGCGCCAAGCCACUUUGGAAGUCGACACAAAAGGACCACUGAAGGUAAGGAGGCGCACCAUCAUCUACACCGGCCAAUCUUCACGGCAACAAACCCAAGAGGACCGCACUAAAGAGAAGGCCCAAGAAGACAAAGAAGACGAAAUCCUGGAAGAAGACGUCACUUCCGGCUCUGUCAACUCAAAAUUUUCACUUCAAUUGCUGGGGACAUGCUCCAAAAACAUGCCAGUCAAGCCGAGUGAAGUUGAAGGAUGGACUUAUGUCACUCCGAAGAAAUUGCACAAGAAGCAUAUGUCUUCUCCACAAGCUCACCAAUGGGAAAGGGGGCAAAACAGCUCCUAUUCACCUCCAGAACAAUGUGAAAGUGUUGGAGAUAAUGAAACUUUGACACGAAGAUCAUCCAUCCCCAUCACGAUGCGUGACAUCUUCCCAGAAGACUUCUUCAACUACUCAGUCAAGGCUCCUUGCUAUGAAGAUUGCGAGGAACGACUCUCUCAGAUCGCUUGACGAACCAAAGCUCCUUGUCUGUAAGAGCCUAAACUGCAAGACACAAAGCUCCUUGUCUGUAAGAGCCUAAACUGCAAGACACAAAGCUCCUUGUCCGCACGAGCCUAAACUGUAGGACACGAGGCUCCUUGCCUGCACGAGCCUAAACUGCAUGGCACAACGCUCUUGGUCUGCACGAGCAUAAAAGGCAACACCAAUGCUCAUUGUUCGCACGAGCCUAAACUGCAUGGCACAAUGCUCCUUGUUCGCACGAGCCUAAACUGCAUGGCACAACGCUCCUGGUCUGCACGAGCAUAAAAGGCAACACCAAAGCUCCUUGUCUGUAAGAGCCUAAACUGCAUGGCACAACGCUCUUUGUCUGCACGAGCUGAAACUGCAACGCGGCACCAAAUGCUCCUUGUCUGCACGAGUUGAAACUGCAAACGACACCAACACUCCUUGCCUGCACGAGUUGAAACUGCAAACAGCACCACAAAAAAAAAAAUACCAAAAAAUAUGUAUGCAUUUGAACUACGUUUUGACUUGAUCUCUUUCUUUGGAAGGGUACGUAGGCAACUUAAACGUUCAACUUUGAGUACAGUCAUACUAAAAAAACAAAUAAAAUAAAAUGUUUUAUUAAAGAAAGUCAAUUUUAUUACAAAAAAGAAAAAGAGAAAAAAAAAAAAAGAAUACAUAUGUUAUUAUGUAUUUACAAAAAAAAAAAAAAAAAAAAAAUGUAUAUGUAUGAGUGUCUCGGCCCAGCCGCAACAAAAGGUUUAAGCCACAAGCCCAAUUCGGUUGAGAAGAAGCACAAAACCCAGAUCUCUCCAAAGCAACACCCGGCCCAGGAAAAUAGCCCAUAUCAGUCCACACCGCAGGACUAGGUCACUCUCCACACCGGAGUUGGCUCGUCCCGAGUCACCGACAUGGUUUUAGAUGCGAAUCCCGUGGCUAUCUUCACCAUCACCUGUCGCUGCUGAGUGCUCAUAUCGGCGCCACCAUUAGAUUGUUGGGUGCGAUGCCCACGUCUACCAGGCUAUCAUCCUCUCCAGAUCUCCUCGAGCACAGAGAUUGCGUCGUCCAAAUCAUCAUCAUCAUCACUUGCAAGACCCGCAUCUCCCACUCCCUCAUCUUAAUCUCCGAGUCCAAGAAGCAACCAUGUUUACAGCAGGGAAUUCCAGUCCAUGUUGGAAGGGUUAGAUGAGGACGGUUGUGUGGAAGAAGCCGAACGCAUUUCUCAACUGCAACUCCCGAGCACACAUCCAUGGUGUGAUUGGGUGUGGGAGCACCAAAAUCCUCAAAAGUUCCUCAAUUGGCGAUUCCAAUGGCUUCAAUCUCCGGCGGGAUCUCGACCUUUAACCCGGUCCGAUCCUCAUAGAUCUGAAAUUGCCAUGACUCCCGUGGAUCUCUCCUCCCUUUCCCUUCGUCUCUAUAGAAAUUUGGGGCACCCAGAGGGCACCCAAAUUCGGUCUCUCCCUCUUCAUUCGCCGCUGCCAACCUAGGCAGAGCAGAUCGCGACUCCUCUCUCUCCUCCGCUUACGCUGCUCGCGGUGCUCGCCUGCUCUCUGCAAGCCUCAUGCGUGCACCCAUACCUCCACCUCACCGUCAGGCUCUUGGAGCCCAUCAAGCAACAGGUCUCUCCCUCUUCAUCCGCCGCUGCCAACCUAGGCAUAGCAGAAAGCGACAACGCCAUAAAUCCCCACACCAGUCCGUCUCCUGCGACUUCGACGGCUUCGAAACAGUUGCGACGGCGGCGCCACCAUCUCUUCUCAAUUCCACCUCAGAUUUCGACUAAUAUUUCAGACUUGGACGCAACCGCAACCAAGGCAUGAUUUUCUUGAGCUGGGGCAGGCCAACUCCUCAGGAACAAAAGGCUUGCAUUGGCAGGACUGGAGGCAUUUUGGUUUGAAUUGGGCAUUUUUUGAUUCGAAGACACCAGUUCAAGAUGGAGUGAAGUUUUGUGUUUGCGUCAACGAGUUUCUGCCAUGGGUCACAGCCCAUUCUCAUGCUUUCUCCACUCUCAAACUCCUCUCACGGCUAAAGAAAGCUUUUACUCGGAAAGAGCCCACAGAGAAGCAUAUGCAACAAUCCUACAUUCUGCCCAUGUGUAUGUUUGUGGAGCCAUUGCUGCAGCUCAGAGCAUCCGUAUGUCUGGUUCAACACGAGAUCUUGUAAUACUUGUUGAUGAAACAAUCAGUGAGUAUCAUCAUGGAGGGUUGGCAGCUGCUGGAUGGAAGAUGCACACAAUCCAAAGAAUCAGGAACCCUAAAGCCCCAAAUCUGAACCCAUGUCGCUGCGGAAAGCCUUUCGCUCCUGGAAAUUCUCCAAAUCGUUCAGGGAAUUGAAGCUCAGCGACGAGGAUCAGGCCCGUGGGGGCGACCGCCGAGUCGUCCGUGACUCGAACUGUGCUGACUCAUCUUCGUCGCUGUUGUCGUCUUCAUGGUCGGAUAUGCUCCCGGAGCUGCUCGGUGAGAUCAUACGGAGAGUGGAGGCCAGCGAGGACAAGGGGCCUCACCGUAAAAAUGUCGUCGCUUGUGCCUGUGUCUGCAAGCGGUGAAGGGAUAUCACUAAGGAGAUCGCGCGGUCUCCUUCGUACAGUAGCAAAAUUACCUUCCCUUCGUGCCUUAAACAGCCUCUCCCCGACGAUGGCGUCCCCAGACUGCUCCUCGACAUUGGUCUCUACUGCAGGAUGUGGGUUCUGGUUGUUUGGUUUUGGGAAUUAGGUUCUGGUUCAUCAUCAUCGGUAUGCAGGUUCUGGGUCAGGGUUUAGAACUUCGUUCAGGACUUCGAUCUCGUCGUCUCAGUCUCUCAUUCUCCGUCUGAAUUCGAUCUCGACUCUGAAAUCCACCAGGCUCCUCCCUGCCUUCUCUCCAUCUAACCCAUACAGCCUGGACCAGGUCCCAUGGCACAAGGAUCAUCGCUGGGACAGGAACAGGAACUUUCCUCAGUUUUUGGAAUUUUCUUCUUGCUUUGGAUCUCUGCCGAGGGAUGAGUGGGCUGUGCUAUGUGCCUGUGCUCAGUAGUGGUGCUCUGUGGCUGUGCUCGAUCAGUGGCGGUGCUCGGUGGCAGUGCAACGGAUGCGCAAUGGCUGUGCUCCGUAGCAGUACAACGGGUGUGCAGCGGCUGUGUUCGGUGGUUGGGCUCAGUGGCUAUGCUCUGGGUUCUAGCUGGAUCCGACGUCAAGAUCACCUCCACCUCCUCCGUCUCUUGCCUCGUAGCUGCCAACAACUUUAAAGACCGCUGUCAAACGACUAGCCGGCCGAGAAGCGCUUCCUCAAAUUCCAGCUCUCCGUCCGUCUUCGUCCGCUCCCUGCAAAUUCCUCUACCCACCACCCAAAUUUAUACAGAAAAACAUAUUAAAAAAAAAAAAAAAGGGAUGGUGGAGCAAAGUGGUGCUGGCACUACGUGAAAAAAGAAAAGAAAAGGGGAAUGGUGGAUCAGCACCAUGUGAAAGCGAAGAAAGAAAAAAAAAAAAAAUAUAUAUAUAUAUAUAUAUAUAAAUAAAAAUAAUAAUAAAAAAAUUAAAAAAAUUAAAAAAUAAUAAUAAUAAUAAUAAAAAAGGAGAGAAGGUGGAUUCUUGGUGGCUAGCACCAUGCAAAGGUGAAGGGUUUUGGAAUGGUGGAUCAUUCCACGUAAAAAAAAUAUAUACAUACAUAUAUAUAUAUAUAUAUACAUACAUAAUAUAUGUAUGUAUAUAGCAAAAAAAAAAAAAAAAAACGCAUUGAGAGAAAUAAAGUCCAUUUCAUUGAUUUUGUUGGAAAAAUACAGAGGGAACAUUUACAUGCCCAAAAAAAAAAAAAAAAAAAAAAAAAAAAAAAAAAAAAAAAAGUGCAAACAAACAAAAGCCUUUAUUGAUCAGGUGGCGCCUCACCACUCGGCAGAGCUCCAGAAACGAGAGGCGUCGGAGGUUGGCUGUUUGAAGUCUCAGCAGUCGGUACAGCCCAGAAGACGAAGGUAAAUGCUGCUGAAACAAACCCACAAACCUCCGAUGAUCAAGUAAAAUCUGACCAUCAGAUUCCUGCAUCUGGUCAAUUUUCCUCUUCAUGUUUGUGGCAUAGUUGUGUGCAAGCUUGUGCAACUGUUUAUUCUCAUGCUUGAGCCCUCUGAUCUCCUGUUUGAGACUCAUCACUUCAGCCGCCAACGAUUCAACCUGACGAGUUCGAGCAAAUAGGCGUUGGGCCAUGUUGGACACAGAACCCGCACACUGCACACUAAGAGCCAGAGACUCCUUAACAGCCAACUCAUCAGACCGCCUGGAAAGUAGUCUGUUAUCUUUGGGAGUGACAAGGUUCCGGGCUACCACCGCAGCGGUCAUGUCAUUCUUCAUCACCGAAUCCCCAACAGUAAGAGGACCAGUAGGGGAUAUGAAGGAUGGGCGCCAUAUGUUAUCUGGAGAAGACGGGACUACCUCUUCACCAAGGUUCAAAUCAAAACGACGGUCGGAGGGUCCAGACAUUUUCAAAGUGUGAAGGAAGAAGAGGUCGGACGAAUCAAGAUCUUAGAAGUGCAAGAAUGGAGUUUUCACAAGUAAAAUUCAAGUGUGCUUUGAAACGAACAACGUGCCUCUAUAAAAAAUCAACACUCGACGGGAUUUCAGAGAUCGAAGAGGCGAGCUCAGAAUUCGAAGAGGCCAUUCAAAAAUCGAAGAGGCAAGCUCAGAAAUCGGAGAAGCAUCUUGCUUUUCCAGACGCGUCGGCACCCGUCACACGCAAGCUCAGCUUUGCGAAAAUCACGGGCAAUUUGUCGAAGUGCCGAUCCCAGAUAUCGAAGAGACGCCAGUCUUUUCCAGACACGUCAGCACCCAUCACACGCAAACUCAGCUUUGCGGAAAUCACGGGUAAUUUGUCGAAGCGCCGAUCCCAGUUAUCGAAUAAGCGCCAGUCUUUUCAGCCGCGUCAACACCUGUCACAUGCACACGCAGCUUGGCGGAAAUUACGGACAGUUUGUCGAAGAUUUCUGAUAAAGAAGGAAGCACGUGAAGCCAUAUAGAUCAAUCACGCAUUGGUUGCCGACACGAGUGAAAGAACAGUACCUCUACAGGUAUUAAGGAACUCCCUAUAACUGUCCACCUUCACCCUCCAUAGCAAGGCAGACAUACAUAACCUUUCUUUAUCUCCGAUAACCUUUCUUCAUCUCCGAGAAUGCUUUCCCAACGAAGCCUCUCGAGUCAUUCAGUGUUCCUUAUUCCUUGGGGUACCUCUGCAAGCCAAUGACUCCAAAGCAAAAAUAUCUCAUAUCACCAGGGUAGAAAGCAAGAGUAUCUCAUAUCAUGCGUUCUCCCUGUCCUUUCCUUUGUCCUUGUUCUUACUUACAAAGACAAGGAUAAAGAAAACAAUAUGCCGGAACCUCCACUCAAACUCGGGUAAGGAACCGACUACUUGGAACCCUUCCCUGAUUGCUUACCUAGCACUGCUCUCGAGUACUCAUUUCGCACUGCUGCUGUACUUCCAAAGAAGCUGCCACAUCUGCCUGGAGAACAGAUAAGGCAAGUGAAAAUGAUACCUUGCAGCAUGUGGAGACAAGGUGCAGAAGGAACAAGCAGAGAAGAAUGCGGUCUGCACAGUCAACUCAGCAGAAGGAGUCCGAACUGAGGAACUCGAGAAGCUACCAUAUCUGCCUGACGAAACAAGCAGAGAAGAAUGCAGCAUGCGCAGCUAAUUCGGCAGAAAGAGUCUGAGAUGAAGAACUCGUUUUGACCCUCAAAUUCUUGGGUCGACUUACUAGGCGUUGUGGGCUGCACGUGCCGAUUCACCACCCUUGAAUCAAAUCCUUAAAGACCAAGUCAGCAACUGGAAGAAGAGCCCCAUCAAUCUUGAAGAUCAUACCGUUGACCAAACUGCUCAGGUGUGAAUUAGAAAGAUUGAACAAAGCAACAAGUCGUCACCUUCACCUCGUGCCUGCUUGCCAUGUGUUCGAGUCAGCCUUCAAGAAUCAAGCAUCAACGGCCCUUGAAGAAGCUUCCAGCCAAAUUCAAAAUCAAGCCUCAACGGCCCUGGAAGAAAUCACAAGUCCGAUUCAAGAUUUAAGUGUCUACCACCCUUGAAUCAAAACCUAGUUCAAGAAUAAGCUGUGGAAAAUCAACAAUUGGAGGAAUCCAGAAAAUCCUUCAACCCAGUUCAAGAUCAAAGCUGUGGAAAGUCAACAAGCGCAACAAAAUACGUGCCGAUUCACCCACUACCAAAGCCAAAGAUCAUCUACCACAUGAAGCUCAUUGUGAUCCAAUUUCAACCUUCAAGAUCAAGCCUCGACGGCCCUUGAAGAAAUUUCAAACGAAAGUUCAAGAACAAGCCUCAACGGCCCUUGAAGAAAUCUCAAAGCCCAAUUCAAGAUCAAGCCUCAACGGCCCUUGAAGAAAUCUCCAGCCCAAUUCAAGAUCAAGCCUCGACGGCCCUUGGAUCGACAUCUACAGUAAGGGACUUCAAAACGCAUCUCAUACACGCGACAAGCACAUGUACACGACGCGACUUGAAGUGGGGGCAUUUGUAGACAUCGAAAUUUCGGUAAAUAAAUGUUGACCGAUAAAUCAAAGUGUCAACGCUCAUGUAUUACAUAAAUUUUACACGUAGCGUGUGACUAAACGAAAAUUGAAAUGAGUUGGAAAAGUCAUCAAAUAGGACACGUGUCAACACCUGGCAGAAACGACUUAUUUCAUCUGGGAUAUUAUAUUCAAAAUUAGGCCUUGGAAAAUUCUAUAAAUACAAGCCCAUUUCAUUCAUUUGAAGGGAAGGAAUUGAUAUUACACCUUGAAGCUCUGAAACUCCGAAGCUUUCAAGCAUCCAGGUUCCCGAAGAAUCAAGAAAGCCUUCUUCGUUCUUCAUUCAUCGUUCUUCCAAGAUCAAGCCCCAACGGCCCUUUGGAUCAACAAUCAUCCACCAAUUCAAGAUCAAGCCUCGACGGCCCUUGAAGAAAGUGUUCUUCGUUCUUCGUUCAUCGUUCUUCCAAGAUCAAGCCCCAACGGCCCUUGAAGAACUUCCACCUAUUCAAGAUCAAGCCUCGACGGCCCUUGAAGAAAGUGUUCAUCGUUCAUCAACCGUUCAUCCUAAGAUCAAGCCUCAACGGCCCUUUGGAUCAACAACAUCAACAAAUCCACACAUCCAACCGUUCUUCGAGAUUAAGCCCAAAAGCCCUUGAAGAUCCGUUCAUCACUGUUCUUCAAGAUCAAGCCCAAAAGCCCUUGAAGACCCGUUCAUCACCGUUAUUCAAGAUCAAGCCUCACACGGCCCUUGAAGAAACACUCAUCCUCAAGAUCAAGCCCCAACGGCUCCUUGAAGAUCCGCUCAAAUCCACCUUCAAAGAUCAAGCCCAUGGCCCCUUGAAGAAACUUCCAACAGUUCAUCCAAGAUCAAGCCUCGACGGCCCUUGGAUCAAUCAAACAUCCACAAAUACACACCUUACGGAGAUCGAAUCAGAGGAUCAAAAUAGAGAGAGAUUGUAACCCAAAAUCAUCACAAAUACAAAUAUUUUGUUUGUGCACGUUGUUCUUGUCUCCUUCGUUUCAGGAAUUUUCCGUGUUCACAGUUUCAAUCCAAAAGUUAGUUAAUAAUUAGAAGUGUCCCAAACUUGAAGUGUGUUUAGAUAAUAAGUUUUUUAAUUCGAUCAAUAUGGUAUCUUGAUUAAAAUUCAAAGUCCAAAUUAGAAAACAAUGUAUAAUAAUCACCGCAAGAAAACGAGACAAUAAUUGUAAAUUCUCUUUUCUUAUAAAAAAUAGGAAAAAGAGAGAAGAAUAACAUUAGUUGAAUGGGCGGAUGAAUAAACUAAUGAGUUGAAUAAAAGAAGGGAUAGUGCUAUUCACAUUUUUGUUUUUAUUUUUCACACAUUCUUCGUAAUUUUCGGUUGUCAGAUCAAAUAAAUUGAAGAAUAUCACUGAUAAAAAACUAACAAGGGUGUGCAAAUGUAAAAAUAAGUGUGUGAAUAGUACUUUCAUAAAAGAAGUAUCAGAUAUAUCAUGGCUUUGUUAAUUACACAAAGACAUACCUAAUUAUAACAUCUCUAGAAAUUUAGGACUUGUUUGGAAUUUUUUUUAAAAAUGACUGAAAAUAGUUUUAGAAAAAAAUAUUUUUGAGUUUCAAAACAACUUGAAGUGUUGCUUCUUGGGUUUAUUUAUAGAAAUUAUACCUAUACCAAAAUUGGGUUGAAAAACGUUAUUCACCAAACGUGUUUUGACAAAAUACCCUUUGUUUUUCUUUCCAUUCCUGCUUUGUUUUAUAAUGUGGAACAUGUUGUAAAAUCGACAGUGGGUGCAGUGGAAUAAAUGAAACAAGACACAAAAUUUACGAGAUUCCUCUACAGUCAGUGUGACUGGAGUACGUCCUCGGGGCAGCAGUGGUGCUUUCAUUAUAAUUUAGAAUAAUAGGAGUACAAAGAUAACUCUCUCUAUUAUCUCCUCUCCUCUUCCUCUCCUUUCUCUCUUCCUCUCAUUUUCUCUCAUCCUUUCUUUCUUCCUAUCUCUCCGUGAGUCUUCCCACUUUGAUGUUGUGUGAGGUUUGUAUUUAUAUAGAAAAUAGGAGUAGUGUGUAGCAAGCUUCAGCAACCAAAAUGAAGGGCCAAUUAUUUAAUUAUUUAAAUGGACAUCCACUGUUCUACAACACUCCCCAUUGGAUGGCCAUAAGUCUUCGAUUGACUCGUUAAAAUCUGGAUCUGUUUUGAAUGCUUCCCCUGAUGAGUAUCUCCCCUGAUUUCAAAUCAUUUAGGCUGAUCGUUGAUCAUUCUGCUUCAGUCUCUUAGCAAAAAGAGUUUCCAAAAGAAGUGCUUUACUUGUUGUUAACUUUCCACAGGCUUGUUCUUGAACUGGGCUGAAGGGCCUUCUGUUAGACUUCCUCCAAAGGUUUGAAUUUACUUUUUUUAUUUGGAGCUAAAUUUAAUUCAAAUGUGGUGGACACUUGAUCCUGAAUCGGACUUGUGAUUUCUUCAAGGACAUUCGAAACUUGAUCUUGAAUGAAGUUAUACCGUGAGAAGCUUCACGUGGCAAGUGAUCUUCGGCUUUGUCGGGGAUGAAUUAGCACGUGUUUGUUGCGCUUGUCUCCACAUACUUCAAUGUAUCAUUUUCACUUGCCUUACUUGUUCCCCUUGCUUAAGUAGUAUUUUCCCUGGUUUUCCCCUAUGCAUGUGUGGCAUAUUCUCCUGUAGUAUUUGCCUUUUGAUGCAGGAGUGGAAUGCAACCCUUGCAUUUGGAUGGUUCAUCACUUCUUGGUGACUGGAGACCCAGCUCCAACAACAGUUGAAGAUGGCUACUCGAGAGCAAUACUAGCUAAGCAAUUAGGAAAGGUUUCAGGCAGUCGGUUCCUUACCGGGAGUUGGAGUGGAGGUUCCGACAUAUUGAUUUCUUUAUCCUUGUCUUUGCAGGUAAGAACAAGGACAAAGGAAAGGACAAAGAUAUUGCAUGAUAUGAGACACUCUUACUCUCGUCCAUGAAGAUAUGAGAUACUCUUGUUUCGGUGUGACUUGUUUGAAGAGGUAUUCUCGGAGAGGAAGAAAACUGAGUAUUUCGAGAUGCUUUAUUGAAGAUGCAUUCUCGGAGAUGAGAGAAAGUUAGGAGUUUUGGAUGUGUGCCUUGCCAUGGACGAUGAAGGUCGACUUAUAUAGGGAUUUCCCCAAUAGCAGGUAGUGGUGUUGUGCCUUUACUCUUGUCAGCAACUGUGGUGUAAUUAGAACAGUAAGAUUUACGCGUUUUCAACUUUGUCAGAGAUCUUUGACAAAGUUGCACGCGAUAGCAGAAAAAGCUGAGAUUGUGUCUGAAAAAUACCAACGAACUUUAUUCAGGAAAAUCUGGCUUUUGAAAUUCGGAUAGCAGUGCCUCUUCGAUCUCUCAACAAGUAGUUCUGUUGCCUCUUCUUUUAUCGAGAUAUCAAUUAUGUUCAAGAGUAUGCUCAGAAAGUUGCUGCCUGUAGAAAUUUUCCCCUUCUUGCACUUCUUGCACUUCUGAGAUUUUAUUUAACCUCUUCUUUUUUUCAUCAUUUCUGAAAAUGGCUUACCCAUCUAACAUUUGCUUAGAUUUGAGUCUUAGGAGUGAUAUAGACGAGCAGCGUCAGGAUAACAUAUGGUGCCCGUCCUUCUUAUCUUCUAAUGGUCCUCUUACAAUUGUGGACUCUGUGAUGAAGAAUAACAUAACCGCUACUGUGGUAGCUAGGAAUUUUCUCACUCCAAAGGAUAAUAGAAUCAUUUCAAAACAAUCUGAUGAGUCGGCCGUUCAAGACUCUUUAGCUCUCAGUGUUCAGUGUGCUGGCUCUGUUUCUAAUAUGGGUCAACGCUUACUUGCUCAAACUCGCGAAGUUAAAUCAUUGAUGGCUGAGGUGGCAAGUCUUAAAUAAGAGAUUAGAGGGCUCAAGCACGAGUGUUACACGUGCUUGCAAAUAAUUACUCUACGAGCAUGAAAAGAAAGCUCAACCAGCUGCAGGAAUCAAAAAGUCGAACUCAAAACAGUCACCAAAAGUUCGUUGCUAGAUUUCGAAAGUAACUGAUGCCUUCCCCUUUUGGUGUUUUGCCGAGUACUAGGGUGUCAUAUGAUCAAUCUCCAGUGCCUCCUCAUUAUGGGGUACUUCCGAGUACUGAGGCUUCACAUGAGCAACCUUUGUGAAGGCUCCAUCCUGUUUGUUUGUUUUGACUCAUGUGUAUGCACAUAUCUGUAAUUUCUCGGAGAUAUUAAUAGAUAAGCUUUAUUUCAUUCAGUGUAUUGUGCCAAAUACAAUAAAGCAUAUACUUCACUAAGAUGUGGUACUUUUGGACCAAACAUUAAUUUAUCUUUACCCUCACGAAGAUAAAUGAUCUUUCUUAGUGUUUACAUCAUUUGAGUAUUCAACUCAUAAUCUUUAAUCCAUAUGGUUCUUUUAAUAUCAUAGACAUCAUGGAUAAGAUUCGUGUUGGUAUAUUGUUUGAUCUGCAGCUCGAGACAAUAUUUCUCUCAACACUUUAUAAUCUUUCUUGACUCUUUAGGAGUCUCAAUUUAAUAUCAUCAACUCUUCAGGAGUUCUAAUUUAAUGUCAUUGACUCUUGCAAGAGAUUUUAGUAUGUUGCAACAAUAUCAUAAUGAUAGUACUCACUAAGGCAAUUUAUACCAUCCAUUGGUAUUGAGUACAUAAUUUAGGCUUUACCCUUCGGGGGCUUACUUCAAGCAAUUUGAAUCAUUCAGGGAUUUUCUACACUUCAUGACACAUUUUCCUUUGGAAUUUAUACAGUGCAAUUUGCUCCCAUGUAUACUUGAGGGAUUUACUUAUGGAGAUAUGAUGUGGGUGACUCACAACCCUUCGUAUAUAAUUCUCCAUUCAUAUGAACUCGUUUACAAGAGUAUAAUUAGUAACCUUGUGUCAUAUCAUGUAAGUGUAUUUCAUUAUAUUACCAAUGCUUAUAUGUAACCUUAUUGGUUCAACAUAUUUUGGCUAUUCAAAUAUAUAUAGGUCCAUUUUUCCACGUUCUUACAAAAUUGUAAUGGAAUCGCCUUUCUCCAUUUUUGGCCAAUAAUUUUGUUGACGAAAAAGAAUGAGACUCAAUAUCAACACAGCUCAUUGAUGAAUUUAGUAGCUACUUAUAAAAACCAAAAUUACCAUUGGUUAUCAUCAAUCCGUGAUCCCAUAUUCUCAUGUGCAUGCGCAUGCAUAAAAACUUUUCAUUUCUUUGGAUAUCCAUUGCCUCUCCAAGGGCAUUACACUAUCUAUUUCAGGAUAGUCAUAAUUUAGAGAAUGCGGAUCAUAACCUCUUCUUGAGCGUUAUAGAGCUUGAAUUUUAAUUUCCACUUCUAGGAGUUGAGUCAUUGGAACCUAUGCAUCUAUCAUGCUUCAUGCAUGAGACAUUAAUAUUCCCAUGUCCGUGGAUUGUCCUUUUUGGGACGUAUAUCCAUACGGCGACUGUCAUGCUUCUGGCAUGCAACAAUUAUGCUUCGGGAAUGCAAUAGUUCAAUAGUGCCAUAUUCUUCUUCUUUCGAAUGACUGAACGUUUUGAGUCUAAGGGUCUGCCAUGCUUCAGGCGUGCAACAGAUAAAUCAUUUAUCGCCUCAUUAUAUUGUCUAACAGGGACAUUAAUUCUUGUAGGCACAUUUGCAGCAAGUAAAUGUGAUUUUAUCACUUUCGUUGCAUUAUUAAAUGCAUCUGGCAUUUGAUUGAAACAUCGUUGCAUCAUUCAAUUAUUCUUACUUCAUUUUCAUAUUGAUUGCUUCGUGAAUCAAAAUAAGACAAAUUCUCUUCGUUCUUCUGGAACGGUCUUUUCUUAUCAUUCUUCUGGAAUGAUAUUUUCUCAUCAUUCUUCUGGAACGAUAUUAUUUUCUCCCCCUAACAGCGGGAAUAUUGUCUUAUCAAAAUGACAGUCUGCAAACCACGCGGUAAACAUAUCCCUAGUCAAGGGUUCCAAAUAUUGAAUGAUAGAUGGUGCAUCAAAUCCAACAUAAAUUCCCAGUUUGUAUCGAUGCCUUAUUUUAGUACAUUAUGACAGUGCAAUAGGAACGUAGAUAAUAUAACCAAAAACUCGUAAAUGUAUAAUGUUUGGCUAGUGCCUAAACACGAGUUGUACUAAGAAAUAUCGAUGGUUGGUAACUGGUCUCAACCAAACUUAAUAGUGAAUUAUGUAAAAUGGCAUGUCCAUAAGUAGAAAACUUGCAAUUUCGUUUUCAUGAGCAGAGCGUGGGUAAUCAAUUUCAUCCGCUUAAUAAAUGCUUCUACUAAACCAUUUUAAGUAUGGACAUAAGGAACUUCUGGUCCUAUUAAAUAGUUUGUGGAUUGAGACUUUUAUGACCUUUAUUACAAUUAAGUUGAGGUACUGCGGCACUUCAAACUUAAGGUACUUAUCAAGAAACUUCAUGUCCGAUCUUGAGGAUCUAGGGAUUUCAUGCCUGAUCUUUUUGCAUGAUGGAACUUCGGGUUCAAUCAUUUUAUGUGAUGAGGAUCAAGAAACUUCAGGUUCUGAUCUGAUCAAGGAACUUUGGGUCUUAUAUAUACUUAUCGUAACAAAAGGUAAGUACAAUAAAUAAAUUAAAGCAAUAGGCAGUAAUUCCAGACAUAGUAAAUAAAUUGCAUUUAAGUAAAUAAAGCUUGUGACAAGGGCUUUAAUUUAACACCAUUCAUAUAAAUCAAAACUUAAAGCAGUAGGCAGUAAAACUGUCCAUGAUAAAUAAAUUGCUUUAAAGUAAAUAGAACUUGUGAAAGUGUUUUAAACCAACACCAUUCACAUAAAUAAAUAUAUAUAUAUAUAUAUAUAUAUAUAUAUAUAUAUUUUCUUUCUUUUCUAAUGGUACAACACCAUCCAAAAGCUUUUAUGUCACAUCCCGGCCUGGGGUGGACCACUUCCCAGGCCCGCUCCACCACCGUAGCACGAUAUUGUCCGCUUUGGGCUUACCACGCCCUCACGAUUUUGUUUCUGGGAACUCACGAGCAACUUCCCAAGGGGUCACCCAUCCUGGGAGUGCUCUGGCCUCAUUCUCGCUUAACUUCGGAGUUCCUACGAAACCUAAAGCCAGUGAGCUCCCAAAAGGCCUCGUGCUAGGUAGAGAUGAGAAUAUACAUUUAAGAAUUACUCCCCUAGGUGGGUGAUGUGGGAUGUUACAUUUUAUCUUUUUUGUUUUUAUUAUUUCUUUUUCACAUGUUGUGUCGGCAUUAUGCAACAAGAUUCCACCCUUUUUUCAUAUAGCACCAAAACCCUUUUUAUUAUUUUUCAUUCAAAUGGUGCAGAUGCAUCAUUAGAAACCUUUGUCCAAAAAGUCCACUUUUCCAAUUCUUUUUCACACGGUGCUUGAAACACCAUUCCAUAAUCCCUCCUUCAUUUUUCUUAUUUGUCUGUCUGUACUAGUCUUAAACCCAGGGCCAUUUGGGUUGUUGUGGAGGUCACACAGAACCUAUUCAAUCCAAUAAGGCUACCAGAGACUGGCGUUAUUCUUGCAUGGCCCAGAGAACAUGGCGUCAACAAAGCAAGAACUUCCCUAUAGGGACAUAGAUGAUAGCGGAGUUGAUGGAGGUACAAGAGAGGGAGGCAUGUGUGGAGUCAGUCAUGCCAUCACCAUCUCAGACAACCGAUUAUUCAUGGGAGUUCUCGAGAUCUGUCAAAAACGACGCUAUCUGGGUUUCCAAGUCUGAUGAGAUUCUUCUGGAUCUCUGGAAACCAAUUGUCAAGUACGAGUUUUCUCAUCUCGUGACGACUUCAGGUCGUUGUAAAUUUCAAUUCUUACUGGAAUUUGGUGGGGCGCUUCAGGCGCAGUGGAGAGACAGAAAAUGGACAUACCUUUUAUUAUGUGAUAUUUUGGCUAGCAGAGGUAAGAGGUAGGUAACGCUUUACCAGAUUUAUGGCGUUGUGCUUUCCAUUGACAUGAGAGCUUCUCGUGCUGAUAACGUGUUGUAAAAUCGACGGUGGGUGCAGUGGAAUAAAUGAAACAAGACAAAAAAUUUACGAGAUUCCUCUACAGUUAGUGUGACUGGAGUACGUCCUCGGGGCAGCAGUUGUGCUUUCAUUAUAAUUUAGAAUAAUAGGAGUACAAAGAUAACUUUCUCUAUUAUCUCCUAUCCUCUUCCUCUCCUUUCUCUCUUCCUCUCUUUUUCUCUCAUCAUUUCUUCCUUCCUAUCUCUCUGUGAGUCUUCCCACUUUGAUGUUGUGUGGGGUUUGUAUUUGUAUAGAAAAUGGGAGUAGUGUGUAGCAAGCUUCAACAACCAAAAGGAAAGGCCAAUUAUUUAAUUAUUUGAGUGGACAUACACUGUUCUACAACAUAACAUGGUAUUUAGAAAUUUUCCCUUUGAUACCUGUUGGCUACGUGUGCCAACGUGGGACUUCCAGACAUCAUUGAUAAUCUCGGAAGGGAGAAAUUUUUAAUUGUGAUAUGAACAUGAGUGGUACAUCAUGUGUUUUUAUGUAACUGAUGAGAAAUUUUACUUUUUAAGUUAGUAGCUUUUUAACACACAUAUCCCACUAUUUGUAUAAUGACACGUGGUGUACCACCUCGUGUGUUGGUCACAAUGAAAAAUCUAUUGAAGUAAGGGGUAUUUCCCCCUUUUUUUUCUCUCGAAUUCUCUCUAUAAAAACUAAACCACGGCCGCCACUUUUCUUAUCCCCCAACCGCCGAUCUCGUCACAGUUUGGUAUGAACCAAAUGGAUUUCUUUUUAAAACAAAUCGACAUGACUAUGAAUAUAUCAGCCGACUUGAAGGAUUCGAUGGUCACAUACAUUAUUUGAGUAUAUUAUGUGUGUGCUUUUUUUUUUAUUGGUGAAUUAUCAUGUGUGUGCUUUAAGUAAUAGUUGGAUCACCUGCAAAGAACUCUAUGGUCUCAUUUUCUAGAAAGUAAUGACAACUAUCAUGCAUAAGACUAAAAGCAACCACACAAAAGUCUUUUUAGCCACCCACAAGUCGAAAACUACUAUUGUGCAUGUCACAUAAGCAAAAUUUUCACUCUUCCAACUUUCUAGCCAAUCGUGCAAAUUAUUGGUAAAUUUGACGGUGAUCGCAUUAACCUUCUCUUCAAUGCAUGACAUGUGGAAAAAAUCAUCAUCAAACAGAAGUUUGAUAUUAUGCACGUGUCCCAUCUUUAUUUGCGCGUUUGUGUUUGUUUUUUAUUUCAAUAGGUUGAAGAAAAAAAGCACUGGCUCGAGCAAGAAGGCUGCAAGGGUCCGAACAAGCUUAAGAGGCUUGCAAGUUGCAAGUACCUUCUUCGUUUUCAUGUAUGUUUCGCUUUUACUAUAAUUUAGUUUUUCUAGUUAUAAUUGUAUAAAUUUUUCGUUCAAUUUAAUAUAAAGGUUCAGCUCAAAAGUUUAAGAUUUAUAAUCCACUUUGUUUCGAUUUUUGAUCUCUUGGUGUUUCAAAGACAAAAAACAACACACGAUCCACAUAUCAAUAAAAGGCUUUUAGUCCAUUCCCAUUUAUAGAAUUUUGCCGACUCUACUGCUGUAAAAGGGGCUUAAUAGUGCAAAAGUACGAAACGAAACAAAAAGAGGAAGGGCGAGAGAGAGAUGCAAUUGGGUAUUUGUCGGAUCGAAGCUCUUCCAUACCCUUCCAUUAUCUCCACCGACUCCUUGACUAAAAGAGAGUGUUUUUUGUCUCAUUUUCUCAUCAUAGCUAAAGCUAGAAAGUAUGUUUCAUAUUUUCCCUGUCCGCAACUGGGAUUAGGAGAAAGAGAUUGAGAGAACAGAGGUUGAUCUAAAUCAUCAAACACAAGCAUAUGCCUGAUUCCAUUUGUCAACUUACAAUUUGAAUAGCUUGGGUAACGAUUCUGUUGACCCUAAAAACUAUCAGGUCUACGUGGCCCACAGACCGAGUAAUUAAUAAGCUAACUACGUCAUUCGGUUAUGUGCAGGGCGUGCCAACUCGACGGCCAAGCUCGAUCGGGGAGUAAAAUGUGUUGUUGUGUUGGGCAUUGCUGACUUCUUGAUCCUGCUAUUGCGGCUGAGGUAGAAACACAUCUAACCUUUUGGGUUCCAGAGCUUGAAGACACGGCUGCUAGUUCUGUGAAUUUACAAAUCGUCAGCGUCGGGUUCGGUCAUGGUGAUUAUAUUCGUAAUAGUAUAACCACACCGAACUAGCACCAGACUAUAUGGACACAAGUACUCGAAAGUGACGUAUGUCUUGAUAGUAAAUGUGGUUCAACCGUCGGAAUGUCGGACUCUGAAUCUCACUUGCGAAUAUCCAAUCAUAAAACAACUCGGCGUUCAAUGUGCCGAGCCUAGUAACCUGUAACACCUCACUUCGUUGAGAAGGUUGAUGAGAUGACCUCUACCAGCAAGAACUCGAAAGUCACUAUCGACCGGGACUUGGAUAAAUAACCAGUAGGUCUCGAAGCAGUGCUGUUUAUCCAAACUGAAGGAGGUGCUCCUCGGUCGGUUGAUUCUACGGCUCCAGUACUGUGCUACAUUGGUUCUGUUAAUAAAGCUUCUUGGUUUCGGUGUUGUGCAGGUUGAAUGGUAAGAAGAUGUUGAGAUUGUUGACGGGGAAGCGUCUGGUUUUUGUAGGCGAUUCUCUCAACAGGAACAUGUGGGAGUCUUUGCUAUGUGUUCUUAGAAACUCAGUGGAUGAUAAGAACAAAGUCUAUGAAGUUUCUGGUAGGCAAGAAUUUCGCACAGAGGGCUCUUACUCCUUUGUUUUCGAGGUAUGUUAGUUUCAAUUUCAUAGACUCAUAAAUUCUUCCUUCUUACCUUUCGGCCUUGUUCAUCUUAUUAAGUAAUAUUAAUGUAUUUGUUGUUCAAUGGAUCAAUAGGAGUACAACUGUUCCGUGGAGUUCUUUCAAUCACGGUUUCUAGUUCAAGAAUGGGAGAUGCUGGAACCAAGUGGAUCAAAGAAGGAAACGCUUCGCAUUGAUUUGAUUGAGAGAUCCUCUGACAACUACAAAAAUGCAGAUGUUCUCAUCUUCAACACAGGUCACUGGUAGACUCAUGAGAAAAACUUCCAGCGGGUAAUUCUCCUGCUCCAAUUCACUCUAUGUCAUGGAUUUUUUGGAAAGUAGUCACUAGGCAGCGAAGUUAAAAUAUUUAUAAAUCUUGCAGGAAGGGUUACUAUCAAGAGGGUAGCCAUAUUUAUGGUGAACUGAAUGUUGACGAUGCAUUUCGCAAGGCUUUAACGACAUGGGCUCGAUGGAUAGACACCAAUGUAAAUCCUAAGAAAACUGCUGUUUUCUUCCGGGGCUAUUCACCUUCUCACUUUAGGUACAUUUUGAAGACAUGAAAUACUUCAACUUGGUUAACAAAUGUAUUGCAUCUUGCUAAUCUUUUUACUCACAGAGGCGGAGCAUGGAAUUCUGGAGGGCAUUGCCAUGGCGAAACAAAGCCAACUACCAGCUUGGAAUCCACGGAAUAUGGAGGAGCGUAUCCAACAAACAUGAAAAUCUUUGACUCGGUACUCAAGGGGAUGAAGACGCCAGUCAACUAUCUGAACAUUACAACAAUGACUGAUUUUCGGAAGGAUGCUCAUCCAUCGAUUUACAGAAAGCCGAAUUUAACUGAGGAGGAGCGAAAACCGCCUAUGAUCCACGAUUGCAGUCACUGGUGCCUCCCUGGCGUUCCUGAUACAUGGAACGUGCUAAUAUAUGCUCAACUCCUCAAACAUAACCAGAAACAACAUAGACAGAAGAAACAGCAAAAUCAGAGGACAACUUCUUAAAUAUGGAGAAAAAAAAUUAUAAAGUAUACAUGUUUUGUUGGAAAGCUCACCGUACGGAGAAUAUCGAACAAGUAUGAUCAAACGAAGGAUAAGAGCAAUAGUUGUAGACUUGUAGUUAGAAAAAGAGGUGGCGCAAUGUGGUUUAGUGAAAAAUUGUGUUUCCAGUUGUGGGAUAGAGGUGGUGAGGGAAACAGGAUUUAGCCCUUGCGUCCUCUCUGGUGCAUUUGAAGGAGAGGCUUGAAAAAUCGGUGACUCGAAACAGCGAGUGCCGGUGAUCAUGGUGGUCGCAGAAGCUGGUUUUGGUAUUGAGAAGGUCAUGAAUAUAAAAUUCUGGUAUGGUACUGGUUUAACGCCACAAUGUGCAGUUGUGGUUGCAACUUUAAGAGCCUUAAAAUGCCUGCAUGACUGAGACUGUGGCUGAAGCCGGUUACAUGAAAUUUUCCAGGCAUGUCUCAAACACGAAACACUAGAGUGUAAGCGUGGUUGUUACUGCAAACAAAUUUUCGAUUGAUAGUGAAGCAGAACUAAAUGCAGUCAGAAAUAUGCAGCAUUGUGCAGCCGGGGCAUAUGAGCACUUAAUUAUACUCAUCAUGCACUUUGUGGAAAAGAAGCGGUUAGUCACUUCAUCCCAUUAGUCUUAUUAUUGGCAAUAGGAAUUGGACAUCAAUUUCUUGUAUCCGAAGAAAUGAGUCACUAUUAAUAUCGACACAUAUGAGAUCGCCAGCCCUUCGGGAGUUCCUCUAUUUUCUUCUUGCUUGCAAGUGCCUUCGCCUAUGAGCGGUAGGUCUCGGGUUCGAGACUUGGGAGCAGCCUCUCCAUAAAUGGGGGUAAGGCUAGCCGACAUUCACCUCUCCCAGACCUUGUGUAAAGCGGGAGCCUUGUGCACUGGGUACGACCUUUUGCAUUGCAGAUCCUACUAAAACUUUCAAUCCCAGUUUUAUACUGUGGUUGGAACAACGAGCACAAUGCCGGAUUUUCUGACUAGGCCUCGCUUCUAUCACAUUGAUCUUGACACCACCUAUCGGAAAUUAGGUUAUCAGUCUUGCUUGAAAAUCAAUGUAUAUGGCUCUCAUAUGCUCACCGAAGCAACAUUUUCCGACGUCCAUCAAACAAAAGCCGGCCACCAUCUCUUCCCCCUUACAAAUUACACUUCUGCAAACUUCUGUUAUUGUGCUCUUUGAUUGUUAUGUCAGUUUUUUGCAUUACCAAAUAACAAUGUCACAAAUAAAAACAAAUUUUUGUGUCACCUUUUUUAGCUUGCUACGAACAAAUGCUGUUAAAAUUUUACCACAUUAUAAUUUCCUCUUUCAAACAUUGACUCCACUCUUUUUUUAACUAUUAUUAAGGAGAGAGAAGACUCGAAACUAUUACAUUAAUUUAAGAGAUGUGGAGUUUCAAACCCGAAAUGCAUGUAGGGUUGGAAGCUUCUCGGGUUCGAAACAUCGAAUCCACUCUGCAUGCCACUUUUACUACGAAAAAGGCAACCACUUUAAUUUUGUUUUAUUAUCAUUCUUGGCUGUUCAUGAUUUCACUUUAACUACAUAACAUUUAAUUGAUAAUUACUCAAAUCAAAAAAAUAUUGGUUCAGUGUUAGAACAUUUAUCUUGGUAUUCUAAUGAAAGAAAAAAAUAAUUGAACUCAUACUGCUAUCAUAUUUAUGAUAUGGAUAAGUGUGUAUAAUACAUGUAUAUAGAAAUCAGACAACUUAAAUUUAAUAUUUAUAACACUACUGAUACACUAAUGUGAGUUUACUUCGUUAAUAUCACACUUAUGAGCGUAAUAUAUCACAAUCAUAAGUUCAAUAUAUUGCUAUCAAACUCAAUUUUUUUGACCAACUGCAAUGCAAGAGUGUGACUCCUAUAUAUGUAAAUAUAGGGAUGUGAUAUCUACACACCCUUUUUUACUUCUCUCACACCCUUUUAAUUUUCGGCCGUCGGAUCGGAUGAAUUGAAGAAGAUUAAAUGAAAAAAAUUAACAAGAGGUGUGAGACCCUGUAAAUAAAAAAAGGUGUGAUAAGAUUGUUAAUAAAUGGAUAUACUGUUAUAAACGAAUGAAUUGGUAAAAUUAUCAAAUAAUGUGUGGUCACGCAAAAAAAUUACUCCAAAUCAAAGUGAGAGGGACGUGAGAUAUUUUUCUUACAAAAAAAAAAAAAAUAUGCCACUUGUUCAUAAAUUAUUAUUACAUCUGCAUUUGUUUUUUAUGUUCAAUUACAUCUGCAUUCUUAUAUUCAAAAAUAGCAACUUUCAACCGUGCAAGUAGACUAAAGGUUGAUUUGAUAUUGCUGUUAUUUGAAAAAAAAUUACUUCUGUUGUAUUGUGAGAAUAAAUAGUUGUGAAAUAAAGCAGUGUUUGGUAAACUUUUUUUGUAAAAAUGCUUUUGAAAAAAAAAAGCAGUAUUAUAGUAUUUAAUAAACUUUUAUGUAAAACAGAUAUAAAAAAAAGUUGAUUUUUCAAAGUUGGGUUUUGCAGCUUUGUGUUUUUGAUUUUUUUUCCACUCAAAACUGUGAAAAAAAACAAAAACCAAAUGUUUACCAAAUAUAAAAACAUUUUUUGAUAGCCAUUUUUUUUUCACAAUUACCUCAAUACAAAGAGCUAACCACCAAACUGAAAAGUGGUCUUCUUCACAGCAGAAACUGUAUGGAAAAUUAAUUCUUCCACCCACACAGGUCACAGGCUCGCAAACAAUGGCGGAUUACUCAACCCAGACAACCCCAAAACCCACAAAGCACCACCACUCCCCCACAAUCCCAAGACCAGAGGCCUUCUCCAAGCCCUCUCUUUCUUCCCCAAUCUUCUUCCCCUCCAGAAGAACCGCCGCCUUUGCCUAUGGCUUCUCGUUCGUCUGCAUCGCUUGCACUUUCUUCCUGGUUUUCAACCCAUCUGGCUACUCUUUCCCUUUCGGCUUCAAGAACAUCUUCAAAACCCCUUUUGAACUUUCCCGGGAAACCCCAUUUUCCUGGAAAGCUGAAUAUUUCCCGCGUUUGGAUGAGAGUGUAGGUUUGCAGUCUGAUAUGGCUAGUGCCCAACUGCCGAACCCAAUUCUUUUCUUGCCCCAAGAAUCCAAUCAGACUUUGUCCCAGAACACUACGAUUCAAGUAACUGGGAAAAUGGGAUUUUCCGGGAAACUGGAGGGUUCAAAGAAAAAAUGAAUCUUUUGCUAAAGAUUCUGAUGGGGUUUUGGGGCAAGCAGUGGCAUUGACCUCGAAAGAGAGUGAUGAUGCUAGUGAGGCAUUGUCUGAAUCUGAGAAGCAGAGCAAUCAAACUCAGCCCGGUUAUGAAUUUUCGAGGGAUGAUUGUGACCUGUUUGAUGGAAUGUGGGUGAGAGAUGAUUCGUAUCCGCUUUAUGCUCCGGGUUCUUGUCCUCUUAUUGAUGAAUCCUUCAAUUGUUUUCUUAAUAAGAGGCCGGAUAAUCGCUACGAAAAGUAUAGAUGGCAACCCAAACAUUGCAAUCUUCCAAGGUGCAGGGCUGUUUUUACUUCUGAUUUAAAAGCAUGUUUUGUUUGUACAUUGCAUUGCAUUUGGUUUUGCUUCUAAAUUAAGGUAAUUUUGCAUGACUAGUUCGACUUCUAAAGUUAGCAGUUUUAGGAAUUUGUGCUUGUUAUGGUUGUUUUUCAUAAGUGCAAAUUUACUUGUUUGCAAAUUAAUCUUGUGAGGAUCAAUAUAACAAUUACUUGUUAUGACAGUUUAAAAUUCACACUGAAUUUCUGUUUUUAAAAACAACGGAGUUUCGUUGUGUGUACUAAUGUGUCUGCGUGUGUAUGUUUAUGUUUUAUGCUUAUGCAUUCGUGUAUUGUUUUUGUUGAAUAAAGCUUGUUGGUUCAGAUUUGGUGAUGCCGGUUUCUGGUGAACUUUUUGUGCAGGUUGGAUGGUAAGAACAUGUUGGGACUAUUGAGAGGAAAGCGACUGGUUUUUGUUGGGGAUUCUCUUAAUAGGAAUAUGUGGGAGUCUUUGCUUUGUCUUCUUCGAAAUUCAGUGGAUGAUAAAAGUGGAGUUGUUGAAGCGUUGGGUAGGAGCGAAUUUCGUUCAGAGGGAUCUUACUCUUUCGUAUUCAAGGUAUGUUCGCUAUCUUGGAAUUCAAGGUAUGUUCUCUGACUUGGAAUUCAUAGCCUGAUAAAUUCUUCCUUCUCUCCAUUGGAUUUGUGUCGUUGCUGAAUUUCAUUUUGACCAGAGUGAAUUAGAUAGUUCACAACACUAGACCAGAUAUAAUUUGCUAAUGACUUGAGAAUUCAAACAAGUAGAAAUAUUUACGUGUUUUUUUUUUUCUGGAGUGGAUGAAUAGGAGUACAAUUGCUCAGUGGAAUUCUUUCGAUCGCCAUUUCUAGUUCAAGAAUGGGAGAUGGCAGAUGCAAAUGGAUCAAUAAAGGAAACGCUUCGCCUUGAUUUGAUUGAGAGAUCCUCCGAUAAGUACAAAACUGCAGAUGUUCUCAUCUUCAACACAGGUCACUGGUGGACUCAUGAGAAAACUUCCAGAGGGUAAAACUCAUUCUCCCUCUCACUCUAUGUCAUUAAUUAAUUUUCGGAACUCGGAAAUACUAAACGAAUAUAAGAAUCUUGCAGGAAGGGUUACUAUCAAGAGGGUAGCUACAUCUACGAUGUAUUGAACGUUAAAGAGGCAUUUCGGAAAGCUUUAACAACAUGGGCAAGAUGGGUGGAUACCAACAUAAAUCCUGAGAAAACUAUUGUUUUCUUCCGGGGCUUUUCACCUAAUCACUUUAGGUACAUAGACCACAUCCAGUACUUCUUAACUUUUAAAACCUCACAGUUCGUUCACAAAUAUACAGCAUCUUCAUAAACCUUUUACCCUUUGCAGAGGUGGAAGAUGGAAUUCGGGAGGGCAAUGCCAUGAUCUAAUAGAGCCACUUGCAAAGGAGACAAAUAGAGGAAAAUAUGCAUCAAAAUUGAGAAUAUUUGACUCAGUAAUCACUGGAAUGAAGACGCCAAUAUUCUAUCUAAACAUUACGAGAAUGACUGAUUUCAGGAGGGAUGCUCAUCCAUCGAUUUACAGAAAGCAGAAUUUUACAGAGGAGGAGCGGAAAUCGCCUUUGAGACACCAGGAUUGCAGUCACUGGUGCCUCCCUGGUGUUCCUGAUACAUGGAAUGAGCUUCUAUAUGCUCAGCUCGUUCGACAUAACCAGAAGCAACAACAACAGCAGCGUCAAGACCCACAGCAACAGAAACCCUAGAUAAAUGAUUAGACAGAUGCCUUGUAUAGAUGGGAUCAUGUCAAAAUAGUUUUGGAGAAAAUGUUUUCUGUUGCAUCUUUCUAUAGAAUUGUAGAAGGAAACAAAAUGAUGUGAUAUUCUUUGUAAAAUUGAGUCUCGGUAAUAUAAGCUGAUAAUAUCUUUUUGUGCAAAUGGAAGUAAGAUGAUAAUUGUGAGUUCUGUCAUAUGAGUUAGAAGAUGAGAUCGUUGCUCUCGUAGCCAUGGUCGUCACAACCAUCAUACGAAGCAAAAGCUUAACUAGGUUUACGAUUACACAACCUUAAUUAUUUCAAAUAAUGCUCAAUACCAGAGUAGCAGAAGAUACAUAUGUACGGUGUUAAACAAACAAACUGUUCCACAUGAAGCAAGUGAAUGAGAUCAGUCGGUAGACUCAGCACAGCCUUAGGAGAAAGGCUUAACUACCACCAAAUAGGCAAUGUGAUGGUAUUCCAAACUAAUUUCGCACUACAUGUGAGCGAUCGAUAUUUAUUUAGAAAAUAGUCACAAUGGCGUACACGUUGUAGCUGUAAGUCCUUCUCCAGCCCCGUUUAAAGAACACGUGAAAUAUGCAUAUAUGAAUCUCUACGGUGUGAAGGAAACAAAAUGCUCCAAUGUAGCAAGUGAGAUCACUCAGCACGGCCCAGGAAGAAAGACUUGCCUACACCGAAUGUGCACAUCUGAUCUGACCAUUGUGUUAAUUUAAUUUGUAGAAAUGAAACUAGGGGCUUAAAAAAUUGAGGAAUAUUCAGCAGCAUAAAGGUGAUGUUACCACUAGUUGUAGAAACAUGGGGGUCUUUGGAUUGUUUGAUGGAUGUGUUUUGAGUCAAACAAUUACUGGAAGAGCAUAGAAUUUCCGUUAUGUUGGUUUAUGAUUAACUUCUUUUGCAGGUUGGAUGGUAAGAACAUAAUGGGAUUAUAGUGAGGAAAGCGCCUAGUUUUUGUUGGUGCGUGAUUCUCUUUGAGGGAAUAUGUUAGAUCAUCCAUCGGUCUGUGUCUUGUUAGAAGUUCAUUGGAUGAUGAGAGCGGAGUUGUUGAAGCCUCUCGUAGGAGCAAAUUUCGUACACAAGGAUCUUGCUCGUUCAUAUUCAAGGUAUGUUGUUGAGUUGUUCAUUAGCCAUUUCGUUACAAGCAGAGUGAAUGAGAAAGUUCGCACCACUGGAUACAAUUUGCUAUGACUUGAGAUUUCCAAUUCAAACAAGUAGAAAUUUAUGUUUGUUGUAGAAUGGAUCGAUAGGAGUAUAACCGUUCGGUAUAAUUCCUUUAAUCACCAUUUCUAGUUCAAGACUAGGAGAUGCCUCCUGGUUAACUGAGUUUUCUUCUGCCAUUCUUUGUGAGCUGAAAGAAACUCAAGAACAAGGACAUGCAGAGACUGCCUGAGGAUACCCGGUCUGAUACCAUGUGGAAAAAUGAUAAAAGUGUGUGUGUGUGUGUGUGUGUGUGUGUAGAUAUUCAAUAACAUUUCAAUUAUAUGUCACACUGAUUGGAGGACGUUUAAGUAGCAACAAGGAGAAGAUGUACACACCACAACUUUCUCCUUAAGUUAACCUUGACUGCAGGAUUUGUACAAACAUCCAUGAAUUAAGGCAAAUGAUUUCGGGACUAAGAGUGAAACAAAGAAAACCCGAGUUUCCAUGAUAUAAGCUGAUAAUAUAUAUCUUCUUCAAAUAUAUGUGGUUGAUUAUAGUGAAUUCGAUCUGUCUUUUUUCAAGUUUACCGAGAAAAGUGGACUAGUAGCCAUAGAAGCUCAAAGAUGAGCUCGGUACUCGUAGUCAUGAUCAUCACCAUCAUCACAUGAAGCAUCAAGCUUAACUAGUUUUACAUAACCUUAAUUAAUUUAAUUAAUAUUCAGCUACCAAAGUAGCAGCUGAUCCAUAUGAAUCUCCAUUAACCCUACGGCAGUUCAAUCGAAUCUCUCCAUCAGUACCGGUCAAGGGGCUUAUAUUCCCCAUUUUAAUCAUGGAUUCCACGAAACUCUCAAAGAAUGCGCUCUGAUUAGUGCUGAAGUUGUUGACAACGUCGAUGGUAUCAGCCCCGCUAGUUGAAAACAGCUCUUGAUCGCUUUGGAGCAAGCCUUUCUGAACUUGAAGAUUUGAGAAAUAAUUUGCAUCAAAAGUGUCGGGAGUUACAGGAUCAAAAUUGGUUAGCACACUGCUAUUCCCAUUCUGCGGGCAUAUCUCACUCAGUGUUUCUAAGUAGGUUGAGUUCAAGGUUGGAUCAGGACUGCCUGUGCCGCUGAAGUUAUACAAUCGAUUGGUGAAAGAUUGACAUCUAGCACGCCCAAAUGUGUGAGCACCU